UCGCUCUCUCGACUUAAGCACAAGCUUCUCUCUUGUUGUUGCGGCGCUGAUCGUGAUGCCGACGACCACUAGGCCAUCUCCCUCAUCCGCUCGUCAUCCGUCUAGGUCCGAUUGGCGACCUCUAUUGCACCUUGGUGUCUUGGAUGUCCCACAAUCAUCACUGUCAUUGCCAUUCCAGGGAUUUCAGGGAUUGUGACGAGAAGGCCAUUGGUGCUACAAUUGGCAUAAGACGGAGGCGGAACAACUAGAGUAUGCUGAGAUCCUACAUUUUCUAAGAAGGAAGUUCACUGAUUUUGGGGUAGGAACAUUCUUCUUGGUCUUCUUAGGAUCACCAAGAACCAUCACCGUUGGGGCUUCUUGUCCUCCGACCACCCUCACCACCCUUACUACCUUCAACGCAGGAUCUCUGAGCAAUGACUGCAUGAACCUGAUUGCAUGAGUUCCAAUAGUGGCUGCUUAUCUCUAUCAAAGGUGAGAGUAUGUGGGAGCACUGCAUAUGUUGCCCAAACUGCAUGGAUUCAGAAUGGAACUAUACAAGAGAACAUCCUAUUUGGCAUGCCGAUGAAUUCAAGCAAAUACAAGGAAGUUCUUUGAGUUUGUUGUCUGGAGAAGGACAUGGAGAUGAUGGAGUUUGGAGACCAGACUGAGAUUUUAGAGAGAGAGGGAUUAAUCUGAGUGGUGCCAGAAGCAGAGAAUUUAACUCACCAGUGCUGUUUAUCAGGACUCUGAUGUUUAUCUACUUGAUGAUGUCUUCAGUGAUGUUGAUGCUCAUACUAGUUCUGAGAUCUUCAAGGAAUGCGUCAGAGGAGCUCUCAAGAUAAAACAGUCUUGCUUGUUACUCACCAAGUUGACUUCUUGCACAAUGUCAAUUACGUCUACAUGAGUUGUCUCUGAUUCCUUUUUAUUAUUUAUUUGUUCAGUUUUACCAUAUGAAGUCAGAACAUAGCUUUGAUUUAUUGCUAAUUUUUUUUAUAAUGAUUAUUGGUGAAAUUCAAUCACAAAACAGGGUUAAUUCAAGUUUACGGAUGGAUUUCACAACAAUGGAUCCAACGAAUGGCUAGGAUUCCGGUUAGAAUUAGUUGGGAGCUUUGUCCUCCGCUUCGCCACUUUGCUCAUUGUCAUGCUUCCUGCGAAUAUUAUCCAACCAGAGGAGCGGGGCGAACCCACUAAAGACCCAGGACGUGCACAAGCCUCGGUGGAACAAGUGGGGACUGGGCCGUGCUCACGUGGGCACUGUAACCACUCAUACACAACCACUUUUCACAACUCCCAGAAAUGUGCCCUCAGCCGAGAAUCGAACUCUCACCACUCGGUGAGGCUCUAUCGGCGACCCGUGUACCAAUAGACCCAAAGAUCGUUGGCAACUAUAACACAAAGGUUGUUUGUGGUUGGCAUGUGAUAUGUGGGAAACUCACAUGUGUUUCUUAUGAUGUGGAAUAUGUAGGCCUAUCACUGUCCUACAGCCUCAGUUGGAAUACCAGGUUUCAAAUGUCUUCAGUUGAGUCCAUAAUUAAAGAUUCCUGCUAUCAUGAUGUGAUUGAGCAUCCAAUGGACUUUAGGACAAUAAGGAAGAAGCUUGACUUAUUUGAUGAGAUUGAGGAAUUGCUUUAUAGUCUUGUAGAAAACUCACUACACAAGUGAGCACUAAAAUUAUUAUUAAUUCAUUGGAUGUUUUGGUAUUCUUUUCAUUCAACUUCUACCUACCUAUU